rnacentral:rRNA from 1 species
UAUUGCUCUUGAACGAGGAAUCCCUAGUAAGCGUGAGUCAUCAGCUCACGUUGAUUACGUCCCUGCCCUUUGUACACACCGCCCGUCGCUACUACCGAUUGAAUGGCUUAGUGAGACCUUUGGAUUGGGGUUUAGGGAUCGGAAACGAACCUUAUUCUCCGAGAAGUCGGUCAAACUUGGUCAUUUAGAGGAAGUAAAAGUCGUAACAAGGUUUCCGUANGUGAACCUGCGGAAGGAUCAUU